UACGUAGGGUGCGAGCGUUAAUCGGAAUUACUGGGCGUAAAGCGUGCGCAGGCGGCUUUGCAAGACAGAUGUGAAAUCCCCGGGCUUAACCUGGGAACUGCAUUUGUGACUGCAUGGCUCGAGUGCGGCAGAGGGGGAUGGAAUUCCGCGUGUAGCAGUGAAAUGCGUAGAUAUGCGGAGGAACACCGAUGGCGAAGGCAAUCCCCCGGGCCUGCACUGACGCUCAUGCACGAAAGCGUGGGGAGCAAACAGG
rnacentral:rRNA from 1 species